GCAAGUCGAACGCGAAAUUUUUUCCUCGGAGAAAAGAGUAGAGUGGCGCACGGGUGAGUAACGCGUACGUUAUCUACCCUCCCAUCUGGAAUAACUAACCGAAAGGUGUCCUAAUACCGGAUACGUUGGAAACAAGAAAGGUGGCCUCUAUUUAUAAGCUACCGUGGGGGGAUUAGCUUGCGUAAGAUUAGCUAGUUGGUAGGGUAAUGGCCUACCAAGGCAUCGAUGGUUAGCGGGUCUGAGAGGAUGAUC
rnacentral:rRNA from 1 species